rnacentral:lncRNA from 1 species
GUCUGCUCCGGGACUUGGAACAAAAGGGGGAACUCUGAUGAACUCUCUUUCCUCCCCUCUCCCCCGGACGCCGGGGUAUCUCCCUCUCGCAACUUUGCCGCCCCGACUUUCUCUGCUGUCAGGCCGGGAAAAAGUGUCCGAACGCCUCGUGGACUGCAGCGGGGGAAAUGUCCCUUAAAAGUGCGACGAAGUGGGGAAGAAGGUGUAAUUACUAUUAUCAGCAUCUAGAAAGCAUCAUGAAUUUGCUGGAGUACUUCCUAGCACUGACCUCCUUCAUUCUGCGUUGUUCUUACUGGAUCUUUCCAUCAGCCAACAAUAUGGAAGUACCAAUACAAGGUCAAAUCAUUCCUGGAUUCAUCUGGAGUUGCUUAAAAGUUAAAUCAUUGGAAUUUUUGAUGAUACCUUUUCUAUAUGGAUUACAAUUUGAUCGCUGGGAAUUCUCCACCUUAAAGAAGACUCUUUUGCUAUCUGGAAACCCAUGUCCACCUCUGACUUCCACUCAAAAUUGCUUUCCUCACAGUCUGACUGCGAGAGUUGUGAAAAAUUGGGAUGUGCUUCUGAGGUGGGCUGUGGAAUGCCAUUACCCUCAGGUGACUACAGAUGUGUUAACACCCAGCAUGUUCCGGUAGGAGACUUUCUGGAUGGGGAAGAUUUCCAGGAAUUGGCAACAAGCUCAUUUCACUGGUGGGUUUGCUGAAGCAUUAUCACAAGACAGUCAGAAUGACUGAUGAGUGCUCUUCAGGUGUGAAUCAUGGCAAUACAGUGAAAGACAGUGAUUUACUGCUUUUGAGGGCGUGCAUGUAUAUGAUUAACGGAUGGAAGUGCAGGACUCCAAGAUUUACUUCCUUCCCUUUCCAGCAGAAUUACCUGAGACGAGUAAAAUCUACUGGUGGAGUCACUCCAUUAUUCUUAUCUGUGGAGAUCUAGAUCUUGAUUUGAAAGUUUCUGAGAAAAUCUUCAGCUCAGACUUGAGGGUCAACUUUACCAGCUGAAG